rnacentral:rRNA from 1 species
GUAGGGAAUCUUGCGCAAUGGGCGAAAGCCUGACGCAGCAACGCCGCGUGGGGGAUGAAGGCUCUCGGGUUGUAAACCCCUUUCAGCAGGGACGAUUAUGACGGUACCUGCAGAAGAAGGACCGGCCAACUACGUGCCAGCAGCCGCGGUAAUACGUAGGGUCCGAGCGUUGUCCGGAUUUAUUGGGCGUAAAGAGCUCGUAGGCGGCUCGGUAAGUCGGAUGUGAAAACUCGGGGCUCAACCCCGAGACGCCAUCCGAUACUGCCGUGGCUUGAGUCUGGUAGGGGAACACGGAAUUCCUGGUGUAGCGGUGAAAUGCGCAGAUAUCAGGAGGAACACCAAUGGCGAAGGCAGUGUUCUGGGCCAGUACUGACGCUGAGGAGCGAAAGCGUGGGUAGCAAACAGGAUUAGAUACCCUUGUAGUCC